rnacentral:miRNA from 1 species
AGAGGCAGGCGGAUGUCUGUGAGUUCGAGGCCAGCCUGCUCUAUAGAGUGGAUUCUAGGACAGCCAGGGUUACACAGAUAAACACUGUCUCAAAAA